GUGUGUAUCUUUACUCAACUGACAGAGAAAAGACAACUAUAAACAAAGUCGCACAUUGUUUUCAGUAUUCUCUCAAUAAAGACCAAUGGAGUUGGAAAGGAGUUGUCACUAGUUACCACAAGCACAAUGUCCAAAUUGGCUAUAUCGUAACAAAUCUUGAAAAUAAAAAUGUGCUUUUUGGUUUUAAUUUAAGGUUAGGGUUAGGCGUAAGGUUAGCAGUGUGAUUAAGGUUAGGUUUAAAAAAUACAUUUUAGAAAUGGGCGGGGUUUAUGAUUUUGUGGCUAUGGUGACGACCCGGGAAAAGGAAGUGGAUUUGAGCAGAAGCUUCCGACCGCGAAUGUUCUAAUUUCAAAACAUUUUUCUUUCGCGCUUUUGCUAGUAUUUUACUAAAGCAGCUAACCGUCAAUAAACGAGAUAUACUGAGUUCCACGAGGCUAGUAAGUGAGCGUAGUUAACGUUAGCUGUGAAGUAAUUAUUUUGCUAGCAGCUAACUAGUUUGUUUCUGGACUCGAGCAUUGCAGCUUUGACUGUUGCAUAAUUAUAAGUUCGAUUGGUGUGGUAAGAUUUCAAAUGAGCUAUGGCAGACCCGGCUCUGAUAAAGACUGAAUCCAACUCUAAGAUAUCAUUGGCUGCUGGAGAAAGCCCUAAAACCGAAGACACUUUAGAAGUACCCGUGACCUCGGAUGCAGACACUGAAGAUCCAUCCUCACAAUCAAUUAAGUGUGUUGUUGGAAUAACUAUAACUUAUAAAGAGUGUCAUGAUAUAGAAAAAAAUUGCCCCCCAAAGUACUGGAACCCUACAACAACCUCACAACAGAGCUCACUAGCCUGACUCAAUAUAUAGUUAUUCUUUUUUACAUCUUCCCUACAAUCCUCUGUUGACUUUGCAUGACCUGCUGAAGGACUCUAUGGCUGGAGAUGAGGAUGAGGGAACCGCAGGUCAUCCUGCUUCCAAAAAGCUGAAAUUGGAGCCUGAGAAGAAAAUGGAGAGGUGCCAAAAGGUUGACGAGGAUGACAUACAGAAGAUGCGGGUUUGUCUCCUCAUUGUCUGAGGAGCAGCUUUAACUGCUAUGAGAUGUACAGACGAUCUGCCUUCCCUAAAGCUGCUAUAAAGAAGCUGAUACAGUCCAUCACAGGAUCCUCAGUCUCUCAAAAUGUGGUUAUCGCCAUGUCCGGUAUUUGCUGGAGAAAUAGUGGAAGAAGCUGUGGACGUGUGUGUGUGAGAAGAGGGGAGACAGGCCUCCCCUGCAGCCCAAGCACAUGAGGGAGGCUAAAGAACAGAGCAGAUCCCCAAUAUAAAGCACAAGAACAUUCUCUUCCACUGAGCCACUCAUGCCUUGCUGAUUAUAGACGGACAGAGCCAAGUAGGGAUGUAUUCCCCCUUUCAGAUGGUGGCAACUUACACCACUUUAUCAUGUUCAUUCUCUCUAUUCCAAUGUCCACUGGCAUGGAGAAUGUCUGGCCAUGAAGGCAAAUGCAGUAUACUGCUGUCAGGAAUAGUCCAACUCCAAAGUCAACCUCUGUGUUAGUUGAGGGUAUUUCUUGGAUAUACUUGUCAAUAAUAGAACGUUGGAUGAAAAUAUUAGAUCUACUUAGUGUUUGUAUAUGUGACACUUUAUUAUUUGAGCUGAAGCAUAAAGCUGAAAGAAUGUAUCCAAAAUUGGUCCCUUCUAGUGCCUCAUGGAGAAGAAAAAUAAUAAUAAUACAGGAUUUGGGUCAGUAGCUGACAUAUUUCAAUAAAUCAAAUGUAUUAUCUUCUCAUUAACGACAGGUAGUCUCGUAAAUUGAGUUUGUGUGUGUGCAUGUUAUAGGACACUAACCUCAAGCCUGUUCUGACCAAUAAAUGUGUAAAAACCA